UUGUAUUAGAUGGCCUCAAAUGUCCCUUCCAGUUAUGCAUUGUAGCAUAAGGAUGACUAUAUGGCAGGGGUCCCCAAAGUAUGGCCCACGGGCCACAUGCAGCCCCCCAAGGCCAUUUAUCCAACCCCUAUCACACAACUUCCGGAAGGGGAACCUCUUUCAUUGGUGGUCAGUGAGAGGAGCACUCUAUGUGGUGGCACCGCAAAGUGUGGCAUCACUCACAUACAGUACUACUUCCGGUGACAUAAUCCUUUGUGUGGCGCCUUGUUCUGAGAGUAAAUGAAUGAGAACGAGGUGCCAAGCAAAGGAUUAUGUGGCUGCACAAUGGAAGAUGUCAGGAUGGUGAGUGGAGAUCUGGGGGAGGGGAUUCCGCACUGUGUAUACUGCUGCCCGGUAUAGUGGUGGCGGUGAUGGGCCUGUGCAAGGUGUGACAGACCCAACACAGCGAGCACUGCAGCCUCCGCUAUCCCAGAUAGCAGUCCACAGUGUCACAGGCUCAGCACCACCUUCAGUAGUGUGCAUAGGGAUUUGUUCAGUUUGCUGUUGUGUUUUAAUAGUCCAGACCUCCAAUGAUCUAAGGGACAGUGAACUGGCCCCCUGUGUAAAAAGUUUGGGAACCCCUAUAGUAUAUGGGACCAUAUUAGAUGUCUCAGAACCCUUGUCCAUGUUAGUAUUAUCAGUCAAGUUUUCUUUAGUCACCUCCCCACCCAUUAUUUCAAUCCCCUUUCCCAUGUUCUCUUUCUCUCAUCAUGUAUUCUUGGCAUAUUUCAGUAAGUAUUGGAAUUUAUAUGAAUAAAGCCUCAUGAAUAAAGUUAUCAAGUACCAAAGUGUUAACUGCUUUCUGGCUCAUUAUAAUCCUGGCCCCUGUCUCAAUGUAAGUCUCUGCCUAUCCAAAAGCUAUAAGAGCCACAUAAAGUGGAGGGAGAGUCUGCCAUAAAUUUGAAAGUUCCAGCGGUGUGUUAUUCCAGUAUGUGGUCAUAUUAAAGAUGGUACCUGUAGUAUCAUUUAUCAUGACCACUAUAGCGUUGUAUAUGAAGCAGUAUCCCCAGUAGGCCGUUAUAGACCCAAUCACCAUCAUCCAAAACACUACUUGAAACAUACUUCUUUCUUGUUCUAACUAUCCCUGUUUCUUAUUUACUGUUGCUCUUCUUUACUUAGAAUCAAGAUGUCUGAUUCUAAGUAGUAACUGCCUAAGAACUGCUUCUCAAGAUGGCUGCUCUGCCCAGGGAACUUCAACUGUCAAAAAAUGGCAGUUGACAAUGGCUUCUUCCAACCCUCUGGGGUGCCACUUGUAAUAAUAGGGGUAUUGAGAGAGAAGAGAGGGAAAGAAUGGAGUCUUCCCUCCCUCAAGGCAAGGACAAAGGAGGAGGAGAUGAUAUUAUGGUUAAGCCAAGAGACAGAAGGUGGAGUUCCAAACCUUCUCUCUAUGCCCAGCCCCUGCUGCUGAUAGAAUCCUUGCAGUUCUACCAGGCCUUCCUUCCAAACGGCUCUGAAUUUUCUCUCUCACACAGGCAAUGGGGAAUUAAUGAAGUUUUGUGAGGCCCUUUCUUCAAAAUUGUAAUGUUAUAUUGCUGCUGGAGUGUCUGUUUUGUAACUAGCACAGAAAUAAAUGUACAAAAUAGUCAAAUAUAUAUUCUUUAUUUUAAUCUCGAUGCAUCCUAUUAGGAUAACUGUACACUUUCCCUUCAUAUAAAAAUAAUAUAGCCUUUCUAAGCUCUUUUGCCCACUCUAUCAAUAUGACUGAAGAUAUAUUUCAUAUAGAUAUACAAAAAUCUGUGUAAUCUGAAUCAAUAAAUUAUCUGGUAUAAGGAACUCCCAGAUGAGGAAAGUAAUUCUACCAGUGUAAGUCUCUAUCUUUUUUCAAAUUGAUAGUCUUAAAGAGUUACUUAGAUCUGUCCCAGAGUUAGUAUGUGUCAGAGGCAAAAUUUGAAUGGAGGUCUCCCUGACAGCAGGACUAGCUUUCUAUCCAUUCUAUAAUAUUUUCUACUAUACCAUGUUGCCCUCCCUAUUUAACAUGAACAAACUCCCCUUUUCAGUAGUUCAUUUAUAACAGAGGUUCUUGACUUGGGGUUCAUGUACUAUCAAAGGGUACAUGGAUAAAUUUCAAGGAUCAAUGUAAACAAAAAAUAUUAUAUCAAGGAGUCCAUAGGUUCCAUCAGUCUGCCACAAGGGUCUAUGACAUAAAAGGGGUUAAGAAAUCCAAAUAUAUUCAAUAAAUAGUCCAUGGCUUAUGAAUAUCAGACAUCAAUAACUCCUAAGGGCAGGUAGGUGGCUAAGUAGAUAGAGAGCCAGGUCUAGUGAUUGGAGGUCCUGGGUUCAAAUCUGAUCUCAGACACUGGAUGAAUGAUCUUGGGCAAGGACGUUUAGCACAAUUGCCUGGCCCUUACUAUACUUCUUUCUUUUAAAUGAUAUUUAGUAUUGAUUCUAAGACAGAAAGGAAGGGUUUAAACAAAAUAAAUGACUCACAAAAAUUUUUAGCCUCUUA